rfam:Bacillus litoralis strain C44 Scaffold5, whole genome shotgun sequence.
ACGAUGUUCCGCUGCAAUACGAAAUGUUGGAAUGAGCAUCUG